AUGAGGUACUUUUAUAACUUGUGUUGCUGCCUGCUCCGCUCAUCUAUCUGUUUUCUCUCAUCCAACGGGAUAAGAGGCAUGUUGGUGGUGAUCCAGUCUCCUCAUAAUGUAACAGUAACAGCGGGGGACACUGUUCAGAUCCAGUGCUGCUGGAAUCAACAUGUGUCAAGAGGGACAGUUAAUUGGCAUGAAGAAGGACACAUCGAGAUAAAAUAUAAGAGUGUUCUGGUCAACAACAGUCAGUGUUAUGACAGGGCAUCUCAGCAGACUGUAACCUGUAACUGCUCAAAUUGGACCAUCUCAAACUUCACUAGAAAUGACUCAGGUACUUACAUCUGUAAAGCUACUAAAGAGAUCCCAUCUCUGAUUGAAUCCGUGGGGGAUGGGACACAGAUAACAGUUACAGCCAGAGAGCAUAAAAGCCAAGGUGAGUAGUCUGAUUUGGUCUAUAUCUGUGUCAAGCAUAAUGUGUACGUACCACUGAUGUACAGUGGUACGUGCUCUGGAUUGCUAAAGCGUAAGGUUUUGACUUAUAGACUAUUACAAAUUCACCUUACAACAAUAUCCAGUUCUCAAUUCUCCUGAAUACCAAUAUUCCAUGUAUAGUCCGUCAGGAUUUGUAUAAUAACUUGUGUGUAUUGAUACCAUGAAUGUGCUUCCAGUGGUUAUUGAGACCUCAGAGGAUAUAGCAGUCUUGUCACUCCCUUUUAUUCUCUAUUUUGGUUCGGCCAGGGUGGGCAAUGACGAAACUUUUGACUAGAUCUUUAAUCAACAAAUACAGCUGGUUCAGAACUGCAGAUACUUGAAAUCAACUGGUAUAGAGCAGACAGCAGGACCAAAAGAUGAUGACAUUACUGGGUCAUAGGCUCAGCAUGAAGAAAGAACACAUUACACAAAGAAGAGAGAGAAAGAUGGAGAGAAGCGACUCUGUGGUUAACAUUUCAGUGCGUCAUCAGAAGAAGUCCACAGCGAGUGUGUGUCAGUUGUGAUUCUCAUGCCCUGGGUGUGAGUGUAGAGGGGGAGGCCACAGCACCUGAAGGCUGAGUGACUGGCCUCAUUCUGAUAUCCUUCCAGAAAGAUGAAGCAUCUGUUGGUCUGGCUGCUCCUCUCCUCCCUCUGUUCUCCCUCUUCUUGGGGUAGGUUACAAAAUAUUAGUUACACAUUUAUUUGGACCAUCAUUAUCUUAGAUUAAACCAACACCAUCUUGGCUCAUCGGGCAAAGACAUCACAGUGUUUUUAAAGGAACGGUAAUUUACAUUCUACUGGUCUGGACAUUACCUUAUAGUUUCUCUUAAAUUAUUUUCAUUCAUUUCACUGUAGU
rnacentral:lncRNA from 1 species